GACGAACGCUGGCGGCGUGCUUAACACAUGCAAGUCGAACGAGGCCCCUCCUUCGGGAGGGUGUCCUAGUGGCGAAUGGGUGAGUAACACGUGGGCAACCUGCCCCCGGCUCUGGGAUAACCCCAAGAAAUUGGGGCUAAUACCGGAUAUGACCGCUGACCGCAUGGUCUGGUGGUGGAAAGAUUUAUCGGCUGGGGAUGGGCCCGCGGCCUAUCAGCUUGUUGGUGGGGUAGUGGCCUACCAAGGCGACGACGGGUAGCCGGCCUGAGAGGGUGACCGGCCACACUGGGACUGAGACACGGCCCAGACUCCUACGGGAGGCAGCAGUGGGGAAUAUUGCGCAAUGGGCGGAAGCCUGACGCAGCGACGCCGCGUGGGGGAUGACGGCCUUCGGGUUGUAAACCUCUUUCAGCAGGGACGAAGCGAAAGUGACGGUACCUGCAGAAGAAGCACCGGCCAACUACGUGCCAGCCGCCGCAGUAACAC
rnacentral:rRNA from 1 species